rnacentral:rRNA from 1 species
CGCAUCUGUGCAUGCAGCAUAUCAAUAAGCGGAGGAAAAGAAACUAACAAGGAUUCCCUCAGUAACGGCGAGUGAAGCGGGAAGAGCUCAAAUUUGAAAUCUUGAAAGGUCACCUUUCACGAAUUGUAGUUUAAAGAAGUGUUUUCUGUUACGAUCGUAAUAUAAGUUCUUUGGAAUAGGACAUCACAGAGGGUGAGAAUCCCGUCUAUGAUUGCGAUUUGUAGCUUUGUGAUACACUUUCAAAGAGUCGGGUUGUUUGGGAAUGCAGCCCAAAACGGGAGGUAAAUUUCUUCUAAGGCUAAAUAUUGGCGAGAGACCGAUAGCGAACAAGUACCGUGAGGGAAAGAUGAAAAGAACUUUGAAAGGAGAGUUAAAUAGUACGUGAAAUUGUCAAAAGGGAAGCGUUUAACACCAGUGCUGUUUUCUGAAAAUCAACCUCUGUUAGCUUUAUGCAUGUUUGUUUAGACCUAAUCAGCUAUCUUGCAUGUUCUAUUGUUUGCAGUGGUGCACUUUUCAGUUUACAGGUCAACAUCAGUUUUUUUUACCGUAAAAAAGUUAAAGAAAGGUAGCUCAUGGCUCCGGUCGUGAGUGUUAUAGUCUUUUUCCUAUGCGGUAGGAGAGACUGAGGUCUGCAGUGUAGGCUAUUUGGCUAGAUACUCAGGUGCUAUGUGAUACCAUUUCAUAAACAACUUGUUGAUUAUGUUUUGUCUAUUGCAUACUCGCUUGUACUAUCAUACCUACGCUUAGGAUGUUGACGAUCAGCUGAGCGCG